rnacentral:rRNA from 1 species
UACGAAGGGUGCAAGCGUUACUCGGAAUUACUGGGCGUAAAGCGUGCGUAGGUGGUUCGUUAAGUCUGAUGUGAAAGCCCUGGGCUCAACCUGGGAAUGGCAUUGGAAACUGGCGAUCUAGAGUGCGGUAGAGGGUAGUGGAAUUCCCGGUGUAGCAGUGAAAUGCGUAGAGAUCGGGAGGAACAUCUGUGGCGAAGGCGACUGCCUGGACCAGCACUGACGCUGAGGCACGAAAGCGUGGGGAGCAAACAGG